rnacentral:lncRNA from 1 species
CCAUGCCCCCUUUGCUGUGAGUCCAAGGCCAUGGCCAUGCAGGAAGGCCUCUGGGACCUUCUGCACUCAGGAAGGAGCCCAACUUUCCUCUCCCUCCCUUCACUCAGAGGCCUCUAAGGCUGGAGAGAUUGUGGGAUUCUGGCACCACCUAGCGUCUGGCUUCCUCAUCUGGGCCUGCAAGCUUUUGAGGGAGGGGAGGGAAGAACUGGCAGGAGAACCAAGCUACAGGAGCAGGAAAUGAACAGGGUGUGUUUGGGGGCCAAAGGCAGGAUGGACCUCACUCCACUUGGGAAUUAAGCUCUUUGUCUUAAUCCACUGCCCCCAGUCCCUGAUAACCACCAACUGAACAUCCAAAGGACGGGAAGCGGUCGGUGGGGCAGGGAGGUGGACUCCCCACUGACUGCCUGUGGGUUUGGACAGUGAAGGGGAAACAGAGAAGGCCUGGGGUUGGGGGGAGAAACUCCAGAGGAGACCAGGAGCCAGGCAGGGGAAGGCCAGGUGACUUACAACUCAGCACCAAGUCCUUGUGACACCCCACUCCAAAUGUGGACUCAUUGGUGUAGGCCAAACCCUUAACUGGACUUCAGUUUUCUUUGCAGGAGAUAGAGGCACACACUUGAGCUCUCCCUCGAGGGUGGGAGAAAUGAACACGAAUGGGGCAGGUCCAUCCACGGGGGCUUUCAGGAGGAGGGAGGCUCCCAAAGCCUCUUGGAUGCAGCAGCAAGGCAAACAGGAAGAGGGGGUAUUCAGACCUGUGGCCCACCCCAGGAGAAGUAAGAGCCCUGGAGAAGAAUCACGUUUCUAGAAUGUUCUAGAAUGUUCCAUACAGAGGACAAUCCAGCCUGCCAUCCUCAGAGGGAAAUUCCACCUGCUCUGGAUGAGUCACUUCCCUUUGCUGACCCUGCCCCAAGGUCUCCCUCCUUGUGAAAUGUGAGGCUUUAUCAGGUCUGAACCUGAGGGGCUUUUCAAACCACCACGUACCCAGAUUUCCCCAGCGCGGUUGAAUAUGAGGUUUGGGGGGUGGCCUCUGCAGGCGGAGGCUUAACGAGCCCCAUGGCCCCAGGUGGCAUUCAGAGGCCUGGGACCUGCUUCCUAACCAGGACUCUUGUGAACAUUUCCCUUCUCUCUCCAGAAAGGUCACAUGGGCUGGCAGUUACUGAACUUUCACUUCACUUUGGGAUUUUCCACAAUUCAGACCUGCAUUGAGUCACAAAGGUCUACCAAGCUUAGGAAAUGAUUGGGUGAAUUACUCUUAAUCACACAACUCCGACCACGACAGCCUCCGUCUGAGGGCGCAAUUCCCUUUCUGACCACCAGGGGGAGCACGUGGCUUGCGCCGAAUCCCCUCCAGUUGCGUGUUUUCAACUCAAUCUUUCCAAGGGCCUUUGCGAGGAGGGGCUCCUGGCUCCUGAGUGGUCCGCCCGGUGCCCUGAUUUCCUAGGAAAGCCCUCAGCUCUUCUCAUUCCGCUCGUUCACCCCCCAAGUUUCCAUACCUUCCACCCCACUGCUCCCCAGAGAGAAAUGUGACAAUGAGCUUCAGCUCUGUCGAAUCCGGACUACAUGGAACCUCUCUGGGUUGGCUUCUCAACUGAUUUCAGAGUUGUGAGCUGAGAAAGAACAGCAGGAGAGAGGCCACAGUUAUUCAGGGGACUCCUGCCUUGCUGGGGACUUCCACAGCCCCUGACCAACCAUCCUGGUGUCACUGCUGAGACAGCAGCCUGAACAAGGGCAAUGGGACCCCAGAGACUGCAUCUGUACAGUUGGAGCCCCAGGGCUGUAGACCCUUUGCUCCAGUGAUCUUAGAGCCAUAAUAUUAUCAUCCAAAAUGAUGAGAGAGUAAGUGGCAAGCAUACCUAGACAUCUUCUGAGCCCAGCAGACAGAAUUUUGGUUUAAGGAGAACCUGGGUAGUUUAAUGGCACAUACUAUUUUUUAUAUAUAGGCAUCACAGUCUAUGAAUUGUAAUGAUUCAUCUCAAGAAGAUGGUAUUUUAGAUGUAUGUGUAUAUAUUUGAAGCCAAAACUGUUUAUUUUGUGUAAUUUUUUUGUUCCUAUUAGUUUCUGAAUAUCUGUGCAUAAAAGCUUCUGUUUCUCUGCCUGCACACAUUUGUGGGUACACACUAUACACCUAUGUGGGGUAGGAGGGGGGAAUGUGCAUAUUUGUUUGCAUUUACCUUGUGUUUGGUCCUGGGGAGGGAAGCAGGGAGAUCCUUGUUUUUUCCUCCCCCAACUGAUAAGUAAGUACUAAGAAGGUCAAUCUUGAAUUAGCUAUGUAAUACCAAAAGUUAAGUUUUUCACACAGACCUGGUUCAGUAUUGAUUCCUUUUAUGAAAAUCCUGUUUAUACUCAAGUUGUCAAAGAAUUCCAGAAGGCAUAUGAAGCCAUUGUUAAAAUAAUUAUAUGCCUUUGUUUUUGAAGAAAAGUAUCCAAAAUAUAUAAGCUUAUUGUUUGAGUUAAACAAUAAAAACAUCUGCUGUUUC